UACGUAGGGGGCAAGCGUUGUCCGGAUUUAUUGGGCGUAAAGAGCGUGUAGGCGGCCAGGUAGGUCCGUUGUGAAAACUCGAGGCUCAACCUCGAGAUGUCGGCGGAAACUAUCUGGCUAGAGUCCGGAAGAGGAGAAUGGAAUUCCCGGUGUAGCGGUGAAAUGCGCAGAUAUCGGGAAGAACACCCGUGGCGAAGGCGGUUCUCUGGGACGGUACUGACGCUGAGACGCGAAAGCGUGGGGAGCGAACAGG
rnacentral:rRNA from 1 species